AGGAUUCCGAUAUAUAUGUGCAAGACGCUUAAUGAUCAAACGCCGUCACGCUCAGCGCUCAGCUUAUUGCCUUGUCGUUGUUGGUUGAGCCCUCACUUUCAGUUCCAAAAGCCGUCUCCACCACACCUCAACGCCACAAGAACCAAAGGAGAGAGAAAUGCAGCAUUUCUCUGACCGAUAAACGAGACGGACUUCCGAUUCCAUUGAUCGCCGGAAAUCGGAUACAGAGAUCUCCAGCCCCGUUGACCUAGGGUUCCGUCUAGCUGUCGUCUGAUACUUUUGGUUCUUUUUUUCCGUUUUCUCUCAGUUAUUGUUCCUAUUAAUGGCAUCAGAGGAUGUUAAGACGAGUGAAUCGGCAGUCUCGACGAUCGUGAAUCUGGCCGAGGAGGCGAAGCUGGCGAGGGAGGGCGUAAAGGCUCCAAGCUAUGCGAUUCUCAGUAUCUGCAAAUCACUCGUGGCUGGUGGAGUCGCCGGUGGAGUGUCAAGAACUGCUGUUGCUCCGUUGGAAAGGUUGAAGAUAUUGCUGCAGGUUCAAAAUCCUCAUAAUAUAAAGUAUAAUGGAACAAUCCAAGGCUUGAAAUAUAUUUGGAGAACUGAGGGAUUUCGUGGAUUGUUCAAAGGCAAUGGCACUAAUUGUGCUCGUAUUGUUCCGAACUCUGCUGUCAAAUUCUUCAGCUAUGAGCAAGCUUCUAAGGGAAUACUUUAUCUUUAUCAACAGCAGACUGGGAAUGAAGAUGCUCAACUCACUCCUGUCUUACGCCUUGGGGCUGGGGCAUGUGCUGGAAUAAUUGCCAUGUCUGCAACAUAUCCCAUGGAUAUGGUACGCGGCAGGUUAACAGUGCAGACAGAGAAGUCUCUCUAUCAAUACAGAGGAAUGUUCCAUGCCUUGUCAACUGUACUCCGAGAAGAAGGUCCCCGAGCAUUGUACAAGGGCUGGCUUCCAUCUGUUAUUGGAGUUAUUCCUUAUGUGGGUCUGAACUUUGCUGUGUAUGAAUCACUAAAGGAUUGGUUAAUUAAAUCUAAACCAUUUGGGCUAGUUCAAGAUUCUGAGUUGAGUGUGACAACAAGGCUUGCAUGUGGGGCUGCUGCUGGAACUGUUGGGCAAACUGUGGCUUACCCACUUGAUGUCAUUCGCCGAAGAAUGCAGAUGGUUGGAUGGAAAGAUGCUUCCUCAAUUGUUACUGGUGAUGGAAGAAGCAAGGCAUCCCUUGAAUAUACUGGAAUGAUUGAUGCAUUUAGGAAAACCGUUCGUUAUGAGGGCUUUGGAGCAUUAUACAAGGGUUUGGUCCCCAAUUCUGUGAAGGUAGUUCCAUCCAUUGCUAUUGCAUUUGUGACGUAUGAAGUGGUCAAGGACAUUUUAGGAGUUGAGAUUAGAAUAUCAGACUGACUUUCAAGACCUCCAUAUGGUUUCUUCAACAAGUGUGCUAUUUUUGUAGGCAAGGGGAUUAGAGAGAAGAUAACCUAGGGAUCAUUGAGUCUGCCCGGCUCUGUCCAUGCGAUGGUUGUUGGUUCCACAUAUCAAGCUGGUUUUAUUUUUGCAUGGAGGAAGGGUUCAUUCUCACCAACAGAACCGUCAUUAGAAUAAUGGAAAGAUUUCCAAAUAAAUUCUCGUGUACUCAUAUUUCAUGAGUUUUCCUGAUUUGCUUCCAUUUUUCUGCUUUUUCUUUUUGCUGUUACAAGAAGAGAGAGGAAUGACGGAAAUACUGAUAUAUUUAACUAUUUUGCUGCUGGGAAGAAUGAGAGUAAUAACAUGAUUAUGAUACAAUAAAAUUAUUCAAGAUAAUAUUAUCUUUGGUA